rnacentral:rRNA from 1 species
AACGGCCGCGGUAUCCUAACCGUGCAAAGGUAGCGCAAUCACUUGCCCUUUAAUUAGGGGCUAGUAUGAACGGUUACAUGAGGGUCUAACUGUCUCCUAUGACCAAUCAAUGAACUUGAUGAUUCAGUACAAACGCUGAAAUAAUUACACAAGACGAGAAGACCCUGUGGAACUUUAAGUUUUCUGAUAGCGGACCAAAAUUUCCAACCCCCCUUUCUAACAGAUACUUUCAGUUGGGGCAACUACGGAGCAAAAAAAUCCUCCACGAACAACAAUUUACACCUGUCCCUCAGGCUUACAUGCCACCCACCCUCUGUCAGACCCAGCAAAGCUGACCUACGAACCAAGCUACCCCAGGGAUAACAGCGCUAUCCCCUUCAAGAGUCCUUAUCGCCAAGGGGGUUUACGACCUCGAUGUUGGAUCAGGACCCCCCGGUGGUGCAGCCGCUGCCAAAGGUUCGUUUGUUCAACGAAUAACGUCCU